AAAUUUAGAUGCUCCAUUCACUUGGAAAUGGCUGGGGAGUAGAAGUGAGGAGAAAUAAAUACGGUAUUGAGGCAGUGUUGGUUGAAAGUGAGGGACAUGCAACUGGCAGGUCAGGUGUUUAUUUCCCUGGCUGACUACAUGUUGAUAACUGCCUUAUAUGUGUGUCUUUUAACUGCAGGUAUUUUUUUUUUUCCUCUAGUAUAUCUUCUUGGAAUUCUAGGUUAUUCUGAUCUCCAGUAGACUCUUUCUUUGUAUAGCACUUGAGUGAAUAGCUUUGAAAACAAUUCACUAUGAACAGAUGUUUUUGUCACACAAGACUGUUAUAUUUUAUUUCUCUUUUUCAGAUUUAAGUCUUUAUGACUUUCUAAAAUUAUAAUGAAGAACGUGGUUGCCAGUUGCUAAUCUAGAAAUCGGUUUAAACCCUGAAGUGCGUGUUAAAAAUCAGCUUUUGCAGAGAGGCUUGGGUUAAAGAGCCAAACCCUGUUAACAUCCAUCUUCUUUGAAGGUGUGGACACUGUAAACUGUGCUGUUACCCUACAGUCCAGUAGUCCACCCUCCUGCUGGCAUAGCAGCCCACAAGGUGAGGUGCAAAAACACCCCAGGAGCAGCCAGUGCUGGUUGCACCCUGUACUGUGGGCCCAGAGCAGGCAUGCAGGCUCUUCCUGGCUGCUGGGCAGGGUCCUCCCUCAGGCCUCCGCAUAGCCUGCAGUGCAGGAGGGCAUCUUCUUGGUGGCAGACCAGAUUUUGACUGCUGUUCUCUUCUCCCUGCUCGAAAUGUUACUGCCUUUUAUGCUUGAUUUUAAGCUGACUCCCUUCCCCCCACAGGUCUCUUGGUAACUGCCUGGUUACUGUUUAAUGUGGCUGAUGAUUGUCUUCAUUUUCAGCCUUACCAGAUUUUGAGCAGAUGCCCUCUGAGUUUUGGGUAUUCUGUUCACAAACAUUUCAUCAGCUGUUAGCAGCCAAUGUCCAGGCUUUAUUUUUCUGCCAAGAGAAGGCUAUGUUAAUUUCCCCCACAAUUUGAAGCUGUUCCUUUGGGUACAAAGUACAUUGAUAAAGUAAGAGACAAAGUCCUUCUCAGAAAUAAUGUUUAUAUUUGCAGCUUUAUGUUGGAGGAGUAAUGACAAAUACUGGGAAAUCUUACUUGUCCUCAAAGUGUUCAUUAUAGACCAGAGUUGUAUCACAGUAAAGCAGUUUUCUAAUGCUAAUCUGUGAAAUAAAGAGGCCACACUUUUCCAGCAUUAAUGAACCCAAAUUAAUGCAUUUUUCUUCCUGCAUUUUGUAGGGAUUCCUUAUGCUUUGUAGAAGUGCAACUUAAAGUUGGGAUCUGCACAUGCAUUGUGUGACUUCUCAUCAUUGACUUGUUCUUUUAAUACUGCACCCAGAGUUUGUAUGAGAACAUGAAGAAAAUGAGGAAUAAAACUACCCUUGUGAAUAAAUGUGUGUACCAUGAAGAAUUCCCUAUUUCUGAUCAAAUUCCUGUUUUCAUGGAUGGCAAAACUACAAGGACAG